rnacentral:rRNA from 1 species
AUUGAACGCUGGCGGCAGGCCUAACACAUGCAAGUCGAGCGCUUCGGACGGGUGAUUACUGCCUAGGAAUCUGCCUGGUGGUGGGGGAUCACUUCCGGAAACGUGCGCUAAUACCGCAUACCAUCAGAUGUCUCCAGAUGGUAUUUGCUAGUAGGUGGGGUAACGGCUCACCUAGGCGACGAUCCCUCGCUGGUCCGAGGGGAUGACCAGCCACACUGGAACUGAGACACGGUCCAGACUCCUACGGGAGGCAGCAGUGGGGAAUAUUGCACAAUGGGCGAAAGCCUGAUGCAGCCAUGCCGCGUGUGUGAAGAAGGCCUUCGGGUUGUAAAGCACUUUCAGCGGGGAGGCGUUACCCGCAGAAGAAGCACCGGCUAACUCCGUGCCAGCAGCCGCGGUAAUAC